GACGAACGCUGGCGGCGUGCUUAACACAUGCAAGUCGAGCGGAAAGGCCACUUCGGUGGUACUCGAGCGGCGAACGGGUGAGUAACACGUGAGUAAUCUGCCCCUGGCUUUGGGAUAGCCACCGGAAACGGUGAUUAAUACCGGAUAUGCACUGCUUCUCGCAUGGGUUGUGGUGGAAAGUUUUUCGGCCAGGGAUGUGCUCGCGGCCUAUCAGCUUGAUGGUGAGGUAAUGGCUCACCAUGGCUUCGACGGGUAGCCGGCCUGAGAGGGUGACCGGUCACACUGGGACUGAGACACGGCCCAGACUCCUACGGGAGGCAGCAGUGGGGAAUAUUGGACAAUGGGCGGAAGCCUGAUCCAGCAACGCCGCGUGAGGGAUGACGGCCUUCGGGUUGUAAACCUCUUUCAGCAGGGACGAAGCGCAAGUGACGGUACCUGCAGAAGAAGCACCGGCCAACUACGUGCCAGCCGCCGCCGUAAUAC
rnacentral:rRNA from 1 species